AUACGUAGGGGGCGAGCGUUGUCCGGAAUGAUUGGGCGUAAAGGGCGCGUAGGCGGCCUGUUAAGUCUGGAGUGAAAGUCCUGUUUUCAAGAUGGGAAUUGCCUUGGAUACUGAUGGGCUUGAGUGCAGGAGAGGUUAUCGGAAUUUCCGGUGUAGCGGUGAAAUGCGUAGAGAUCGGGAGGAACACCAGUGGCGAAGGCGGGUAACUGGACUGCAACUGACGCUGAGGCGCGAAAGUGUGGGGAGCAAACAGGAUUAGAUACCCUGGUAGUCCACACUGUAAACGAUGAAUGCUAGGUGUAAGAGGUAUCGACCCCUUUUGUGCCGGAGUUAACACAAUAAGCAUUCCGCCUGGGGAGUACGGCCGCAAGGUUGAAACUCAAAUGAAUUGACGGGG
rnacentral:rRNA from 1 species